GCUCACUCUGCGCUUCACCAUGGCUUUCAUUGCCAAGUCCUUCUAUGACCUCAGUGCCAUCAGCCUGGAUGGGGAGAAGGUAGAUUUCAAUACGUUCCGGGGCAGGGCCGUGCUGAUUGAGAAUGUGGCUUCGCUCUGAGGCACAACCACCCGGGACUUCACCCAGCUCAACGAGCUGCAAUGCCGCUUUCCCAGGCGCCUGGUGGUCCUUGGCUUCCCUUGCAACCAAUUUGGACAUCAGAGCAGGAGAGACAGAAGUAGCAAACCCUCUUUCGAGAUGUCCCUCCAGCCCCAGAAGUACCUCCAGCCUCACACCAUCUCUUCAGCCUAGCAAGUUGCUGGAGGGAGUCUAUAACCUACCAGGAGCCAGCCAGCCAUUUGUAUCAAGAAAUAGAAAUCUGCCAGGGUACAGUGGCUCACACCUAUAAUCCCAGCGCUUUGGGAGGCUAAGGAGAACUGUCAGAAUGAGGAGAUCCUGAACAGUCUCAAGUAUGUCCGUCCUGGGGGUGGAUACCAGCCCACCUUCACCCUUGUCCAAAAAUGUGAGGUGAAUGGGCAGAACGAGCAUCCUGUCUUCGCCUACCUGAAGGACAAGCUCCCCUACCCUUAUGAUGACCCAUUUUCCCUCAUGACCGAUCCCAAGCUCAUCAUUUGGAGCCCUGUGCGCCGCUCAGAUGUGGCCUGGAACUUUGAGAAGUUCCUCAUAGGGCCGGAGGGAGAGCCCUUCCGACGCUACAGCCGCACCUUCCCAACCAUCAACAUUGAGCCUGACAUCAAGCGCCUCCUUAAAGUUGCCAUAUAGAUGUGAACUGCUCAACACACAGAUCUCCUACUCCAUCCAGUCCUGAGGAGCCUUAGGAUGCAGCAUGCCUUCAGGAGACACUGCUGGACCUCAGCAUUCCCUUGAUAUCAGUCCCCUUCACUGCAGAGCCUUGCCUUUCCCCUCUGCCUGUUUCCUUUUCCUCUCCCAACCCUCUGGUUGGUGAUUCAACUUGGGCUCCAAGACUUGGGUAAGCUCUGGGCCUUCACAGAAUGAUGGCACCUUCCUAAACCCUCAUGGGUGGUGUCUGAGAGGCGUGAAGGGCCUGGAGCCACUCUGCUAGAAGAGACCAAUAAAGGGCAGGUGUGGAAA